GAUGAACGCUGGCGGCGUGCUUAACACAUGCAAGUCGAACGAUGAACCUGGAGCUUGCUCUGGGGGAUUAGUGGCGAACGGGUGAGUAACACGUGAGCAACCUGCCCCUGACUCUGGGAUAAGCGCUGGAAACGGCGUCUAAUACUGGAUAUGUGACGUGACCGCAUGGUCUGCGUUUGGAAAGAUUUUUCGGUUGGGGAUGGGCUCGCGGCCUAUCAGCUUGUUGGUGAGGUAAUGGCUCACCAAGGCGUCGACGGGUAGCCGGCCUGAGAGGGUGACCGGCCACACUGGGACUGAGACACGGCCCAGACUCCUACGGGAGGCAGCAGUGGGGAAUAUUGCACAAUGGGCGGAAGCCUGAUGCAGCAACGCCGCGUGAGGGAUGAAGGCCUUCGGGUUGUAAAGCUCUUUCGGCCGGGAAGAAAUCGCACGGGCUAAUACCCUGUGUGGAUGACGGUACCGGAAUAAGAAGCACCGGCUAACUACGUGC
rnacentral:rRNA from 1 species